rnacentral:rRNA from 1 species
UACGGGGGGGGCAAGCGUUGUUCGGAAUUACUGGGCGUAAAGGGCGCGUAGGCGGCACUGUUAGUCAGGCGUGAAAUUCCUGGGCUCAACCUGGGGACUGCGCUUGAUACGGCAGAGCUUGAGGAUGGAAGAGGGUCGCGGAAUUCCCAGUGUAGAGGUGAAAUUCGUAGAUAUUGGGAAGAACACCGGUGGCGAAGGCGGCGACCUGGUCCAUUACUGACGCUGAGGCGCG